rnacentral:rRNA from 1 species
CGUAGGGGGCAAGCGUUGUCCGGAAUUAUUGGGCGUAAAGGGCGCGUAGGCGGAUAGUUAAGUCCGGUGUGAAAGAUCAGGGCUCAACCCUGAGAGUGCAUCGGAAACUGGUUAUCUUGAGGACAGGAGAGGAAAGUGGAAUUCCACGUGUAGCGGUGAAAUGCGUAGAUAUGUGGAGGAACACCAGUGGCGAAGGCGACCUUCUGGACUGUAACUGACGCUGAGGCGCGAAAGCGUGGGGAGCAAACAGGAUUAGAUACCCUGGUAGUCCACGCUGUAAACGAUGAGUGCUAGGUGUAGAGGGUAUCGACCCCUUCUGUGCCGCAGUUAACACAAUAAGCACUCCGCCUGGGGAGUACGGCCGCAAGGUUG